AUGUCACCACCUCCUAGAGCAGCCCAAGAGAGAGCACAGAGGGCUGAAAGUCACAUGACAAGGAAGAGCCCACCUCUGGUCAGUUACAGGAGGAAACUGACCCACAGAGGAGGGAGGGGCCCAAAGUCCCGCCCAUUGUCAGUGUCAGAGGCAGCACUAGAAGCUGAGUCUGUAAGAGCCAAAAGGAGGCUUGAGAAGAGCAGCUCUAGGAGGCUGCGGAGGGAAGCCGAGGAGUUUGUAGUGUGUGAAGGGAAACCUCGAGGGGACCUCCAGGGCAGCCUGGAUCCCAGGGCCCCAGGGUGGGAUGGAGGAGUCAGUCACGUGUCUGUGGCCCUGUUGCUGUGUCCCAGGAGAGUCAGCGUCAGUGUGAGAGUUACCAACAUGCCAGAGCCUGAGCCAUGGAGGGGGGAGCUGAGGGGAAGUGAAGGGGAGUCUGCAGAGCUUUUAGGAAGACCCCGAAGGGAAGAGAUCAUUUGCUUCUUGAACACCCUGAGCAGCAGAAGUGCAGGAGGAGUGAAUGAAGACUAGAGCAGCAGCAGCAGCACAGCAGAGACCAGGAAGAGGCUUCUUGUAGGAACGACAGACAAGGAAGAAGGGAGGAAGGAGGAAACUCUGGGGGCUAAAGGUGAAGGCAAAGGCAGAGAGGAUCCUGGGAAGAUCCCUGUGGCCUCCCUUCUGCUCCAGGAGGAUGCUGCUGCCUGAGUUGGACUGCAGAACCACAGGGGAGAAGAGGAGGCAGAUACAGAGAAGAUGGGGUCACCCAGGGGCACCUCCAGGACCAGAGACUGUCCUUUCCUUCCCCUCUACAUUCAGCACUUGUUCUGCCCUUCUGGGGAUUCCCCAAGAGGCAAAGGUCAGUCCUUGUCCUCCAGGAGCUCUCAGUGCAGGGGGAGACAAGACAGACACAGGGACACCCAGCCAGCUCUGCCUAGGAGAAACGGGGAAGAAAGGAAAGAAUGGAGGCACCCUGAGUGAGAGGGACCCGGGAAGGUUUCCUGCAGAGUCUCUAGGCUUUAGCUGGGACUUGGAGGAAGUGCAAAGGGAUGCGUUUUAUGAAAUGUGGAGGGAAAAUAUUCCAGGCAUGAGGUAAAGCCAUGGAAAAUGCCUGGAACUAGAGCCAGCCAGAUCACACGGUGGAUAGAGUGCCAGAUCUGGAGUCAGGAAGACCUGGGUUCAAAUGUGACCUCAGUCACUUCCUAGCUGUGUGACCCUGGGUAAGUCACUAACUCUGACUACCUGACCCUCAUCAGUCAUAUUUAUCUUAGAACUGAUCCCAAGAUGGCAGGUAAGAGUUAGACCCUCACCCAUAUUUUCCAAUCUGGGGCAGUUAGGUGGCUGUGAAUAGAGAACUAGAACUAGAGAAAGAAGGUCCUGGGUUCAAAUAUGACCUCGCUUCCUCCCUAUGUGACCCCGGGUAAGCCAGUCACCCCCAAUGGCCUGCCUCUUAGCCAUCUGCUGCCUCACUACAGUUGCUCACCAUCAACUCAGAAAGUAAAGGAUUUCCUUUAAAAGUCUCCAGCUGAGGGAAUCCAGCAGGCCAGACACCCGAGAUCCAAGAAUACAGACUGGGGAGGAGGGAAUGAGAAGAUGGGAAAGAGGGCUUUGAACACCAAACAGAAUGGUUUGUGUUUGACCCUGGAGGAAAGAGGGAGCCAUUGAGGGUUAUGGAGGAGGGGAGUGACACAAUUAUAAUUGAGUUGUAGGGAAACCACUCUGCUAGGAGAAUGAGCAGGCCUUGGGGUGGGAAAAGCUUUGUGGUGUUAUAUGGUAAAAAUUAACUGACCUUCACUCUGUAAGGGACAACAGAAUGUCCCUCAACAGAAUGUUCUGGGCAAGGUCCCAGGAAUUAUAGGACCCCUGAAGUAUGCCAGUAGUCACGUAGUCACCUACCUUUCAUGUCUGUCCAACAUCACCCACCUGUUAUGCUAAACUCACCAAAAUCAUUAACAGAAUGUGUCAGGUGUCCCCCAUCAAGUAACUCAACUAUGACUGCUUUAACCAAUAUAAACUCCACUCUGACUCUGCCUCUUUGUAAUCCCUUGAUUGGGCUCCCCUAGCAUUGCUACUAAUAAAAUUCCUCUUGCUUGAAUUUCA
rnacentral:lncRNA from 1 species